UACGUAGGUGGCGAGCGUUGUCCGGAUUUACUGGGCGUAAAGAGCGCGCAGGCGGUCGUUCAAGUCGCGUGUGAAAGCCCCCGGCUCAACUGGGGGGGGUCACGCGAUACUGAUCGACUCGAAGGCAGGAGAGGGAAGUGGAAUUCCCGGUGUAGUGGUGAAAUGCGUAGAUAUCGGGAGGAACACCAGUGGCGAAGGCGACUUCCUGGCCUGUUCUUGACGCUGAGGCGCGAAAGCUAGGGGAGCAAACGGG
rnacentral:rRNA from 1 species